AAGUUAUAGACAAGAGAAACAAAUUCCACCUCAUAUAGGAGCCAAUAGGGUUAGAUUUUUCAGGCAACAAGAAAGCCAGGGCAGGGGACAGAAUGAAUUGAAGGGACAACGACAGCAGCAGGAAGCCCUCAGGUGGGAAUGCUGAGCAGUCCAGAUGAGAGAAGUUGAUGGUUUGGACUACUGUGCUAACAAUUGCGUCACAGAGAAAUGAGUGUCCAUAGAUCAACAUUUACCAAGCUGAUGUUUACUAAGCAUCACACCAUAUCCUGCAUCAUGCAAUGGUUCAGUGAUACCAGAACCUGAAAUUCUAAUAAAAAGAAUCAAUAAGGUAACAAAAUAAGGUACUAGUUGCCCUUUGUAAGUAUGCACUCCACACUGUGCACUGUGUCUCGACACUGUAGGAUUUCCCAGGCAUGCUUCCAUGUGGAGAGGUCUGAGGUUCUCUAGUGCUACCUGUGACAAGGUGAAUACAAAUGUCUAUUUUGGGAUUCAAAUCAUCAUCGUAAUGACCGUCCAUUUCUGCCGUGCAUCAAAAUUCAUUUCUCCACUUACAACAUUUUCAGUAAUGAAAGUGGCCAUUUUAUCUCUAUUGCUGUUCCUUUAACUAUCUUAAAUAACUGCAAAUUCAAGCUAAAGAAAAAAAUUUAACAAAAGUAGUCUUAUUUAAGAUCUAGUAUAGCGUAAUAGUUAAGAACGUGAACUCUAGAAAUACAUUUCUCAGCUUCUAACUGCCCUUCAGACUUCUAAAUUUCUGUUUCCUACUGAAUAUGUGAUCCUUGAUUUAACCUUGAUUUUUUACCUGUAAAAUUCAGUAGUAAUUAAUUUUGCUUAUAGACUUUUGUAGAUUAUAUAUACAUACACGUUUGUAUAAUUUGAUCUUCUCUACUUUCUCUGUAGAGACUCCACAUGUAUUUUGUCUCAGAAAUAAAGAGAUUGUUCUUCAAAAAGAAACACAUUGAUAGUUAUAAAUUAAAAUUCAUUAAUCAAUUCAUUCAUUAAGCAGAUAUCCCUUGUACAACUAUCUAAAUGCUUUCUUUGAGGAAAUUGGGUCAUGAAAACAUAAAUAUGUUAUCUGAUAUCAUACAGUUGGAGAAACACCUACUAAAAUUUAGGUUUCCUGAUGCUACAAAUGGAAACACAAGAUAUCUUAAGAUAAAACAUUAGCUCAGUGAUUAAGUGCUCAGGACUCAGACAUCUUCAGUUAAAAUCUUGCUCUGAUAGUCAGCUGUAUGAAACUUUUAAUUCUCUGUGUCUCAUUUUUCCUUUUUAUAAAACAUAUAACAACACCUAGCUUGAAUCUUUACUGUUAAGAUUAAAUGAGAUGAUUUGAAAGACUGUGUGUGUGUAUGUGUGUGUGUGUGUUUGUGUGUGUGUGUGUGUGUGUAGAUAUUAGCAGAGAGAAAUCACUUUGUGCUAGGAUAGAAAAGUUAAGAUAUAACAAACUAUUUGUGAAGCAUGAAUAAUUAAAAAUACAAGUUUAUUCUGAUUAUUUUAUAAGUGCGGUUCUCUUGGCAUUUCAAAUAAUAUUCCAUUAUUUACAAAAAUUAAGCAGAACUAACUGAGUUAUUUAUAUGGAUAAUACCUCCCAUGACUAAUCAUUGUAAAUGUAAUAAAUUAUUGCUAUGGGAUAUGGUGCAAUUGAAUUGGACUUAAAUUUUUAUAUUUAACAUCUGCUCAUAACACAGCCACCGAGGAAUAUGUAUCUUAAUACCUACAAUGCUUCUUGCAAUGAUGUUGCCUAAUGAAGUCUUUAUGAAGUUCACAUAACUGUUAGUUGGAGGCACAAUAUAAAUUUUCUGAUGACUUUUCAGUUAUAAUUUAAAGUGAUAGAAAUAUGACACUGAAAUGAAUGUACUGAGAGUAUUAUUCUGAUGACUCCGUUACUUCCAAUAGAUUUUGACACUGAUAGUUUUUAAUCACUUAGCUAAAAGGAGGGAAGCAGAGAAGAAAAUCCCCCUCUUUUCACCUUUGACAAUGAAAUUAUGACUAAAAGCUGAUUACCUGUGACUGCAGAAUCAAUCAUUCCUAAUACAUACUCUCUGGAGAAAUUAAAAACAUCGAAAAAAAGAAAUGUGAAAUGGCCUCAUGGUUACUGUCUGAUAGAAAAUAUCUAGAGGCAAUACUAGGUUUUUCGUAAUUUCAUCUUAUGGCAGGAGACAUGUCACGUAAACAUGAUUGCUAAAUAGUGAAGAUAACACUUGUCUAUUAGGAUAACACUUGUCUGCUGCUGAAACAAAUCACCUAAGAUAUUGGCAUAAACACCUUGCCUAUUUGUUUCUUAGUCAACAGGUUACAUUAGAUGUCUCUCCUGAAGAGUUUCCCUCAAAGUACUAACUCUCUCAAAGUGGUAAGUUGUGUGCAAUAAUCUGGCCCUCCUUAAAGCCCAGGAGGACUGGAGAGAAGGAGAGAGCUCAUGAUUUUUAGGAGAUUUUGGAGAUCAGGGACAGAUUUAACUGGAAUUAGUAUAGGAAACUUUACCCUUAUCCAAAGUGCUGGAACUAAUCAGUAUCCAACUACAUUGCAAAAGAGAUUGGGAUAUGUAGUCCUCUUACAUUUCCUGUGAAAUCUUCCUGUUAGACCAAGUAAAAGAAAUGGGAUUAAGGGGGAUCUAGUCAAUCUUGAUGUCAUUAUAUACAUUGACAAUAAGUGCUCAAAAUAAUUUUUAUCAUCUAUUAUUCUGACUGUGAAAUUAUAUUUGAAAAUAAAACACUAUUAAAGUAAUAUAUUCUCAUGUGAAUACAUUUUAUUAUUUUAGAUUUUAAAUGUAUAAGUGAAGAUAUUAAACAUUUAAAAUCUUAGGAAGCCCACUUUGUCUCUGGCUCAGGAUUUUUUUUAUAUUUGUUUAUGCUUUCAGUGUCACUAACUCCUUGUUUUGUUUCUAUGAAUCUCAAUACUCUUCUGAACCUUCUACCUUCAACAAUUUUUUUAAAGUAACUGGUACUUCUUGAUCACUUUUUUUAGUGGCGCUUGUGAAAAAAAUUGUGUUUCUUUUUCUUUUUUCAAGACAGAAUCUUGCUCUGUCACUCAGAUUGGAGAGAAGUGGUGUGAUCUUGGCUCACUGCAGGCUUCACCUCCCAGGUUCAAGCGAUUCUCAUGCCUCAGACUCCCACGUAGCUAGGACUAUAGGUGUGUGCCAUCAUGCCAGGCUAAUUUUUGCGUUUUUAGUAGAGUUGGAGUUUCACUAGGUUGUCCAGGCUGGUCUCGAACUCCUGGCCUCAAGUGAUCCUUCUGCCUCAGCCCCACAAACUGCUGGGAUUGC
rnacentral:lncRNA from 1 species